rnacentral:rRNA from 1 species
AAUCAACGCUGGCGGCGUGCCUAACACAUGCAAGUCGCACGAGAAAGGGCCUUCGGAUCUGAGUAAAGUGGCGCACGGGUGAGUAACACGUGAAUUAUCUACCUUCGAGUGGGGAAUAACUUCGGGAAACCGAGGCUAAUACCGCAUAAUAUCUACGAAUCAAAGCAGUAAUGUGCUUGAAGAGGAGUUCGCGGCAGAUUAGUUAGUUGGCGGGGUAAUGGCCCACCAAGACGAUGAUCUGUAUCCGGCCUGAGAGGGCGCAUGGACACACUGGAACUGAAACACGGUCCAGACUCCUACGGGAGGCAGCAGUGGGGAAUUUUGCGCAAUGGGGGAAACCCUGACGCAGCAACGCCGCGUGGAGGAUGAAGUCUCUUGGGACGUAAACUCCUUUCGAUAGGGAAGAUUAUGACGGUACCUAUAGAAGAAGCCCCGGCUAACUUCGUGCCAGCCGCCGCCGUAA